UCCGUGUUAUGCCCCUAUUGUAUCACUUUCUUUAGAGAAACCUAACCUGCUCUGGUCUCACACCUCUUUGGAGAAAAUCUAACCUCCUCUGGUCUCACACUCUCUUUGGAGAAACUGGAGCUUCUUUCUCUAGGAACGGCAUAGUGGAGUCGCUGAGUGUGCAGGGAUUUUUGUUUGGAGACUCUCAUUGCAUAAUUGAUUAAACUUACUCAGUUCUGUACUUUUAAUUAGAAGACUGGUCCAUACUUACUGUACCUUGAGUAUGUUGGAUUAGUGAUCUAGGGUGCAUCUUGUAGUUGUCUAGUUUGUUUUUACGUUACCUUGUCAUAUGAGGCAUCAAUGGAUCAUUUGUUGCAAGCUACAUUUAUAAUUGUACUAGCACUACCCCUUAGUCACAAGUUGUUAAACCUUCGUAAUUUGUCUCUUGAUCUAGUCAAUGCAAAGUAUGCAGCCAUAGUUGGUUGACGAUCGAAAGCAUAUGGUGCAGCCAAUGAAUUCUGGAAUGAUCAUCUCUGUAGAGAGUGAAUGUUUUGUUUUGUUUUUUCUUUUCAUUUUGUUAAUGGAAAUUUCUGUAGAGCCAGAGCGUCGGCAUUGUGUGUGUACCUACACUUCUUAAUAUUACUAUAUUCAACUUGUUAAAGUACUAUUGACAGAGGAGGCCAAGAAAAAGAUCUCAGAAUCUGGGAACAUAAUUCAAUAAAAAAACAAAAAUGGUAUACAAUACAAGCAAGCACCAAGGGCUUUGAAUUAAUCUUCUGCAUAGAUGAUUCAGGUCGAGGUCUAGUUUCGUUUGGCUUCUGCUUGUCUUUCCUAUAGCACAACAGUUAGGCUGAUGUGGUAAAUUGCGGAGAUUGAGAGAGAAGGCUGCAAGCUAAAUAUUGCCUGAACUUGCCUUCCUCCGUUGCUAGCCUAGAAAAGGAAAUAAAAGGGAAAUUCAAGUAACAGUCUCCACCAUACACUACAAGAAGACAACGGAAGCACAAACAAGGUGCACUGGUUUGGAUAAGUGAUGAAUAUGCAGUUUCCGCCUUGGGGGAUUUAGGGGUCUGAUCAAGCUGUCAGCUUGCUUUGCGAGAUCAUAUUUCGAUAUAUGUGCCACUUCUCGUAUCUCUGGAAACCAGGAAGAACAGGUCUAAAUCGAGGAGCACUAGUGCAUUCCAAACAGCAGCAUCCUCUUAAAUCUUAACCUCAUUAUCAUUACAAGGCAUAAUUAGGAAAAAGUAAUGCAUAUACCUUCAUGGCUACGUUUGACAACUAUUAUUGUAGCUAAGGAUACUUGCGUUUUGCUACAUUUAUAGUCAAUCAUGUUCACCUCUCUCUCUCUC